rnacentral:tRNA from 1 species
GCCGGGGUGGCGGAAUGGUAUACGCAAGGGACUUAAAAUCCCUGGACCGAAAGGUUGUGUGGGUUCGACUCCCACUCCCGGCA